AGAGUUUGAUCCUGGCUCAGAACGAACGCUGGCGGCAGGCCUAACACAUGCAAGUCGAACGAUGCCUUCGGGCAUAGUGGCGCACGGGUGAGUAACACGUGGGAACAUACCUUUUGGUGGGGGAUAACUUCGGGAAACUGAAGCUAAUACCGCAUACGCCCCUUGGGGGAAAGAUUUAUCGCCGAAAGAUUGGCCCGCGUCCGAUUAGCUAGUUGGUGAGGUAAUGGCUCACCAAGGCUCCGAUCGGUAGCUGGUCUGAGAGGAUGACCAGCCACACUGGGACUGAGACACGGCCCAGACUCCUACGGGAGGCAGCAGUGGGGAAUAUUGGACAAUGGGCGCAAGCCUGAUCCAGCCAUGCCGCGUGAGUGAUGAAGGCCUUAGGGUUGUAAAGCUCUUCACCCACGACGAUGAUGACGGUAGUGAGA
rnacentral:rRNA from 1 species